rnacentral:rRNA from 1 species
GUUGCGGUUAAAAAGCUCGUAGUUGGAUUUCUGUUGAGGUCGACCGGUGUACACUUCGUGUAUUAUUUGGUUCGGUCUCGGCAUCCUCUUGGGGAACGUUUCUGGACUUUAUUGGACAGGGCGAGAUUCAAGACUUUUACUUUGAGGAAAUUAGAGUGUUCACGGCAGGCAAGUGCUUUGAAUACAUUAGCAUGGAAUAAUAAUAUAGGACCUUCGUUCUAUUUUGUUGGUUUCUAGAACUUAGGUAAUGAUUAAUAGGGACAAUUGGGGGCAUUCGUAUUAACGCGUCAGAGGUGGAAUUCUUGGAUUGCGUUACGACGAACUACUGCGAAAGCAUUUGCCAAAGAUGUUUUCAUUGAUCAAGAACGAAAGUAUGGGGAUCGAAGACGCUUAGAUACCGUCGUAGUCUAUACCAUAAACUAUGCCAACUAGAGACUGGAGGGGUUCUCCUAUGUGGCUCCUUCAGCAUCUUAUGAGAAAUCAAAGUUUUUGGGUUCCGGGGGGAGUAUGGUCGCAAGGCUGAAACUUAAAGGAAUUGACGGAAGGGCACCACCAGGAGUGGAGCCUGCGGCUUAAUUUGACUCAACACGGGAAAACUUACCAGGUCCAGACAUAGUAAGGAUUGACAGAUUGAUAGCU